GGUGUGCAAUCAGGGGUGCUGGGAAGAGAGCAGAGCACCUUCAGGUUUUAGCUUCUCUGAACUGACCAUGGCAGAGUUAAUUGUGUUUUAUUGGAAAUAACAGCUUGUGUUGAGCUUGGAAAAGGAUCUUCUGGGAUUUGUUGUUUUCUGCAUCUCUAAAGUAGGAGCAGUUCCCCAGGAGAGGUUUUUGGGGAGGGCACCCUGUGCCCCUUCUGCAGCUCACCACUUGUAAGGUGAAAGGGACAUCUUUGCUUCAUGGAGUCUACUGGUGGAUAAUACUAAUCCUUGAAGAGCCAAAGGAAUUUGACUUUACAUAGGCACCCUCAGGAAUUGUGAAUUGCUUUUUGGCUCCAGAGGCUGCUCUCCGGGAAGGUGUCAGGGUGUAAGUGUGUGAUCUGGUUUCUAGAUUGGAGCAGCUGUCAUUCUCAGCUGUUCUGAUCCCUCCCUAAAGCCUCUACUAGAACUGGUCAAACAAUUUCCAUCCAAGAGUUGUUGACAGAAAAUGGUUAUUUUGUUGACGUGGAAACUUCCAGGGGAAAUGUCCUGUUUUUGUCAAUCAAUACAUAAAAUCAAUAUUUUGACAAACAA